rnacentral:rRNA from 1 species
GUCCAUGCCGUAAACGAUGAUUACUCGCUGUUAUGCUGUACAGUGUAGCGGCCAAGCGAAAGCGUUAAGUAAUCCACCUGGGGAGUACGCCGGCAACGGUGAAACUCAAAGGAAUUGACGGGGUCGGCACAAGCGGUGGAGCAUGUGGUUUAAUUUCGAUGAUACGCGAGGAACCUUACCUGGGCGUAGAAUGUGAAGGAAUGAUUUAGUAGAUAGAUCAGUCAGCAAUGACCUGAAACAAGGUGCUGCAUGGCUGUCGU